UACGUAGGGUGCAAGCGUUGUCCGGAAUUAUUGGGCGUAAAGAGCUCGUAGGCGGUCUGUUGCGUCGGCUGUGAAAACCCGGGGCUCAACUCCGGGCCUGCAGCCGAUACGGGCAGACUAGAGUUCGGCAGGGGGAGACUGGAAUUCCUGGUGUAGCGGUGAAAUGCGCAGAUAUCAGGAGGAACACCGGUGGCGAAGGCGGGUCUCUGGGCCGAUACUGACGCUGAGGAGCGAAAGCGUGGGGAGCGAACAGG
rnacentral:rRNA from 1 species